AUGGCAAGAAGAUUCUUAACUAUCCCUGCUAGCUCGGUGUCAUCGGAAUCUACUUUUAGCACCGGUGGAAGAAUUCUGGAUGAUUAUCGAAGCUUUCUAAAACCAUACAUGGUGGAAGCAUUGGUGCGUGGCGGAAGCUAUAUCAAGGGUGCCCACAAAGACUUAUAUGUGUUGGAUGUGGAAGAAGAUGAUGAUGAUGAGGAUGCGGAGAAGGUCAAAUUGCCUAAAAGUGUGGCAGAUUGCAACUACUAG
rnacentral:rRNA from 1 species